UCGUGUAUGGCCCCGAGACUCUGUGACUGGGUUUGCAGUCUGGGGUGCCUGCUUGGAUUCUGGGGGCAGGGGGUGCUGGAAGUGGGUCUAGUCAGUGCGGGGGUGGGUGUGAGGCGCUGUUGAAGUUGGUCAGCUGAGCUGACAAGGAAAUCAGGUUCUUCAGGAGUCACCCCCUCCCAGCCCCUGAAACUCUUGUCCACUCCCCGCUUGGAUGCCUGGGACUGAGGUUCUGGGGAUCUCACCCCCCACGACUCGGGUGCCUUUCAGAUACGCUGCAGCCAGCGCUCCUUCCCACAUCCUGGACAGUCCACGGUGUGUCCACCCACGAGACUCGUGGCACCUUCCAUUAGAGCCCAGAGCCCAGGACGCAGGAAAGGCAGUUCCCCACUGGUCUGCCCUUAGACCCUCUCGCUGUGGCCUCCGGGGUGGGGAGAUGGCAGGAUGCAAGGGAAGAGCCUAGAACCUGACUCUGUGUUGAGUGAUGGGAUGGGUGAGUGGCUGUCCCGCCCUGGGCCUCAGUUUCCCCACCUGUAGCUGGGGGAGCACGGUCAGCUUCUCAGAAACAGCCGUGGACAGUGGAUGAGAUGAGGUCCGCCUGGGCGGCCAGGGCGCCUGCCCCUGGGUGUCCGCUAAGAGGAGGGGGCCUGUGGUCCGGCUCUCCCGGAACGUGACUGUCCCUCUGAUCCUUUCAGAGCCCAGCCCCCUGCCCCAUGGGCCUGUCCAGGGACCCCACAAGGCCACCCCACCCCUCAGGAGCUCCAUAUCUCCAAAAGGACCAAGGCUUGGAUUUCAUGCCCAUAAAAUGCCUGAAAUCAAAGCAGAGCUCACAACAUGGAAGGUUUUGAAGUUGGCUCAGGACAGGGGGCAUGAAAUUCCCAGGGAUUUGGCCCUUCUCUUGGGAUCUACCAUAAAGCAGGGUCUAGGGCCCGGGCAGAAGGGUGGUGGCUGGGCACCAAGGGGCACCUGACAUUUUAGCAGCGAUCUGAAUUCCAACGAUGGCUUAGUCAUCCCACGUUUUAGAGAAGACAGCUGGGAAAACCCAGCUGAAAAGAUCCCUUGGCUUGAUGUUCGAGGCAGUGAGGGACCCCGUGGUGGAAGUGAGGUUCCGAAGUGACAGUUCUGACCCCUGCUCUGACAACUUACUGUGUGACACUGGACAAGCUGCUUAACCUCUCUGAACCUCAAUGUCUUCAUCUGCCAAAUAAGGGAUGAAAACCGAUCCCUCCCUCAACCGGUGGGGCGACGGAGACCCCAGGGGCUUUACGUGACGCGCGGCCCAGCCCCUGGGGCGUGUUAUUAUUGUUUUUGCUAGUGACACAAACAUUCACGUCUCCGGACUUCAGGAUCUGUUGAGCCAGCCCGGUCACAGAUAUGAUCUCACUGAAUCUUCCGCCCCUUGGAGGUAUGCUUCCUCGGCCACAGCUGCCGCUCAGAGAGCCACACUGGACUCCUGGCGGUUUCUCCAAUCAAUAAAGCGAGCUCCAGCCUCAGGGCCUUUGCAUCGGCUGUUUCCUCCACCAGAAAGACUCUUCUCCCAGGGCCCUUGCUCUGUGCGUCUCUUCACUCAGACCUGUCCACCCUGCCGAGUUCUGGGCAUGGAACUUCUUCCACACAUUUGAAGAAGUUACCUCCGCAGAAAGGCCCUCCCUGCCCAGGGUGGCCUUCCCAUCUUGUUCUCUUCCUGGGGUGUUUCAGACGGAAAGAUAUGGCCAUCCUGAGCUCUCAUUCCAGAGGCAAGAAGGUCAAUUUCCCAGCUUGUAACGUCAGCCCCUUGAAGCCUUUGAGUUUGUGACCCCUGAAGCCAGAGGCUGCCUUGGCAUCGCUGCAGGACCCCACCGCGAACACCCGGGCUGGGCGACCUUGGGCACGCCUUCUGGGCCCUAGGUUCGUCCUCAGUAACAGUGGGCUGGUAGCGCAGGUGCGCUGGUCCUCCAGGUGUGGGGCUGGGGGUGAAUGUGCGCCAAAUGCACACGCCCAGAUGCCUGCGAGGCCGCUGAGAAGUGGUCCUUCCUGCCCCGCCCUUCAGGCCGCCGUCUGCAGCGCGCGAGCGCCCUCUGCUGGCCCAGAGCGGGGGCGCGGCCCUGAGCCCCAACCUGGAGCCCUGGGGCCUGCAGACCUGGAGAGUUUUGUCUCUGGGGCAACAGGGUGAUUUCACAGUGGCUUAAAGGGCUUGUCGUGUGCCGAGGACCGUGAACAUCUCACGGCACGUAAAACGUUACGUAAUGCUCAGCACAGUCCCACGAGGAGGAUAUAGAGAGGCCAAGGGCUCUGCCCAGAGCCACACAGCCAUGGGUGGCCUGCUUCUGUGCUGAGACUCCAGGUUGUGUGCUGAGAUCUGCGGACAGAGAGCUGACACGCGGGCCUCUCCUCCGCUCACCCACCCGUGUCUUCACCAGCUUUACCUGGAGCCGGCAGACUCCUCACUGGGCCGGUCCCUCUGUUCGCCCGCCCAGUUAGCCCACAGCCCCUCCGUCACUCCGCGAGUUCUCGGCGGAGCCGCUGGGACCCGGCCCUCAUCACUGCCCUGGGCCUGGAGAGGAAGGCGAGGCCCCGCUCUGGAGAAGGAUUCCUGAGCUCGCGGAAACCUCAGGGUGUCCCGGGGACCGCUUUCGGCGCUGGAGGCAGAGAUGGGGAUGAGCCAGCCAGGUGAGCACCCACCUGCAUGAUGCGUUUCCAGAGAGGGAAGGAGGAGUCAGUAACCCAGUAAGUCAGCGUGUUAGGCGUGAAUACUUGCCGGGAACAGAACAGCAUCGGCUAAUGAGGACAGCCAGCCCGGAGUGGCUGAUCUGGAGGGGCCCGGGCUCUCUCCGGGGCGCGUUCCGUGCUGCUUGUGGUGGGAGCCCGCCCCAUGGAGACGAGGAAGCGAGUCCGAGGCCAGGGCACCAGACGGGCAUGAGGUGGCCGCGUUUCGCCUGGGGGUGAUGGGCGGAGAGCCCAGGGAGGUGGCACUUGGGGCAGGGGGGUGGGGACAUGAGAACUGGCUUGGGGAAGCAAGAGGUUUCUGAAGUGGCAACCUGGGGGCCGGCGGGCUGGCGCACGGUCUACGCGUCUUGAAGCCCCCGGGCGCGGUGGGUCAGAGCACGGAACGCAGGCCGGCGUCACCCAGCCCUGCCCCGUGCGGUGUCCGGAAGCCACCGGGCCGGCCACCUGCCUGUCUUCCAUCCCACUCGACCCUGAGGCGGACAGGCCUCGAGGAGGGACGGAAAACGUGCCCCGCGGACCACCGGGAAGGGUUUCUGAUCCGAGCUCCUUGCAUCACAAGGGCCCGCGGUGGCUGAUGAGGACGGCCACCCAUCGAUCGGCUGCCCCCGCCGCCAAGCCACACAAGAGCCAUCUGUUUAUGCUUCAGAUGACCGUCUCAGACGGCGAGGAUGCCUGUGUGUGAGGCACUCUCACAAAUCGGGAGGGAAAAGGAACAAAGAUGACGUAAUUGAGAGGGAUAAAAGGGCCUCUCAGCUUGAGAAAAGGUACUCAGCGUCACACAUGAGGAAAUGCACCGGAAGCCAUGAAAUAGCACGAUUCGCCCAAGGAUGGGCGGGCAAGGACGUCUGAGCACAGAUAGAGGGAAGGGAAUGGAAGGAACCAUCCUGCGCUGUUGGUGGGAAGGCGAGUUUGGUACUUCUUCGUUUGGAGGCAGUUUGAAAAUGACAAGGUUAAAACUGUCCAUGUCCUUGGCCGGAGAAGUCUGGUCCUAGGCAUCCCCUCGGCGGGGCGCACUCACCGCUGCGCUGAGGCUGCUGGGCCGGGCGGAACGGCGGGGAUGACCUCAGGUCUCCAGUGAGGCCCUGGUCCUGGGGUGGCACGCGGCGUACUGGGCGCUCAGCAGCUGUCCAGGGGCCUUGAAAGGCCCUGCUGGUGAAAGACGUGUCUGGGGAAGAGUGGGGUGGAGGCCACAUGCCCAGUUAUGCUAACCGGGAAAAAAAUAAAGCAAACACAGGGAGGGAGAUGGGGAGUGGGUCACGGCUUGCGUAUGCAUGCUUGACCUCAGAAGGACGAGCCGUGCUCCGGGCCUCGCCUUGAGGGGCUGGGUCGGGAGCCAGAGGGAACCUCACCUUCCGUGCUGUUUGAAGCACUGUCUAGGUUCCUGUAUAGUCUGUCUUUGGUGAAAAUAAAAACGGGGUCUCCAGCCCAGAUUUGUCAUCACUAGUGUAAGGGGCAGGGUAAUUUUUUAGCAAGGGAGCUGGUGUGGUCUCUGUCCUUCACUGCUGGGGUGGCCGCCACCUCUGUGCUUAUCACCUCGGAUACGGUACGCUGUGCCUCUUGUGCCAAGUCGCUUCAGCUGUUUCCGACUCUGCGACCUGUGGACUUAGCCCGCCAGGCUCCUCUGUCCGAGGGAUUCUCCAGGCAAGAACACUGGCGUGGCUUGCCAUGCCCUCCUCCAGGCGAUCGUCCCGACCCAGGGAUCAAACCCAAGUCUCCAGCGUCUCCUGCCUUGGCAAGUGGGUUCUUUACCACUAGCACCACCUGGGAAGUUCCAAGUACGUACUUUGGGUGGGCACUGAACCUGCGUCUCCCUUGUGGGAGGCAAGAGUUCUACCACUGAGCCGUCAAUGCCUUGCAGACAAGACACGCUACUCCUCGUCAAACCUAAAAUGUUCACUUUUUAACAUCAUAACAUUUUGGGAACUGGGACAUUCCUUAAAUCAGUGGCAUCGCGCCUUUAUAAUUGGCAGCAUUUUUUUCUUGGUAGUGCAUAAAAUAAUGGUGCAUCUCACAAAGGACAGGAUCUCAGACUCAAUGAAAUGUGGGUCUGUUUCCUGGGGACCCUGCGGCCACCCUGUUACUCCUGGGCCACAGGGGUCCUGCCCACGCUCUGAGGACCCAUCACAUGCCCCUGGGUAGGGGGCAGGCCUCCCAGGGGCCAAAGGCCACCAAGAUGACAAUCUGGGGAGAAGAAGGUACAGCUGUUGAUGGAGCUUUACGUCCCGAGGCCUCAACUGCGGCCAGUGAGCUGCGAUGGUGCUCCUGUUCUACGCAGGAAUGAAAAAAAUGUGUCUGACACACUAAUGUUGGGAGAUCUCGCAUAAAAAUCUGUAUCAGAAAGAUUACAUCUAAAAUUAAUAUAAUACUGUAAAUCAACUAUACUUAAAAAAAAAUCUGGCAUUCACCGAGCCCACAUUCCCAGCCCGCAGACCCACACCAGAGCCCCCCAGACGUGGCCAGCGCCUUCCAGUGCCUGCGAGGCUGGCGCUGCGUGCUAAGUCCUCCCCUCUUGCAAGGCUGCCUGAAGCCACUGUGCCGGCAGCAGGUAACUUCAUGGAGCCCCCAGGAGGAGGCCUUUGGGGGUACAUCCAGUUGUCACCCCCAUAGCCCAGAGCCACGUGCGGCCCACAGAGCCCACCCUAGCAUCUUCCUCCUCUCAAAUGGAAAGCAGAGAUGCUCUCACAAGCUGCCCUUCCUCAGAACAUUCUCUGCUCGAAUCCUUGACGUCAAGACUGAGUCCUUCGCAGGGUUCUGUGGAGCAGGUGCAGGCCAGGGAAGGGCCGAGGACCGAGUGUCCACUUGGCCACGCGGGUGAGGGGGUGGGAAGGGCAAGAGGCCAGCGGGGACUGGCUGGCCGCCAGCCAGAGGGGCGGACCCUCGGCAGGGCCGGGGCUGACCCGACACCACUCUUGCCGCUGCUCCACAGCCGGACACAGCUGGGCGCCGGUGCCCCCCCCACCCCCACCCAGGGGCCCCAGAGCGAUCUCAGCAGAGGAGCAGCUCAAGGGCGCUGCCCUCCCCACAAGGCCAUGGGUCGGGGCCCGCUAAAGAAGUGCUCUCUGCACCUCGAAAGAGCACUUCCUCUCUGCCCUACGUGUAGGCCUUAAGCUUGAGACCACCUGUGAAUGCACCGGUCAAGACGAGGAGCAAAUCGCACGACUGUGGGACGUAACCACAGACCAAAGACUGGAGGUUGUCACAGGAGGUCCCAGACAGGGGUUGGCAAACUAUGGUCCAUGGGCCAGAUCCGGUCCACUGCCCAGUUCUGUUUGGCCCCUCAAAAGAGGAACGAUCUCUACAGAGGAACAUCUGCAAUUGAUCUGGUAACAGGGAAUAUUAAGUUUGAAUCCCAAGUACAUGUUAUUCCCCUAAAAAAUCAUUCCAUUCUUCUCAGUGUAUCUGUUAACAUUACAAAGAACUGUACUCAAUGAUGAUGUUUUCAAUUUCAUCCAAAAAUUGUGGAAAUUUUGUUUUCUCGUUCAAUAAACACACAUAAUUUCUUUGAUUUUGCCUCUUGGCCAAUAAAGCUUAACUAGUUGGGAAUUCUCUGGCCGUCAAGUGGUUAGGACUCUGCUGUCACUGCUGAGGGUCUGGGUGCAAUCGAAGAUCUCUCACAAGCCAAAAGGAAAAAAAAAGCCUAAAUGUUUACUAACUUGGACCCACUGCAGAAAAAGUUCCC